rnacentral:rRNA from 1 species
UACGAGAGGUCCAAGCGUUAGUCGGAAUCACUGGGCUUAAAGGGUGCGUAGGCGGGCCAGAAAGCAUCUUGUGAAAUCCCUUCGCUCAACGGAGGAACCGCAGGGUGAACUGCUGGCCUAGAGGAACCUAGAGGCGGGCGGAACGAUAGGUGGAGCGGUGGAAUGCGUAGAUAUCUAUCGGAACGCCAAAGGUGAAGACAGCCCGCUGGGGGUUUCCUGACGCUGAGGCACGAAAGCGUGGGGAUCAAAC